CCUACGGGAGGCAGCAGUGAGGAAUAUUGGUCAAUGGACGAGAGUCUGAACCAGCCAAGUAGCGUGAAGGAUGACUGCUCUAUGGGUUGUAAACUUCUUUUAUAAAGGAAUAAAACGAGGCACGUGUGCCUUUUUGCAUGUACUUUAUGAAUAAGGAUCGGCUAACUCCGUGCCAGCAGCCGCGGUAAUACGGAGGAUCCGAGCGUUAUCCGGAUUUAUUGGGUUUAAAGGGGGCGUAGAUGGGUUGUUAAGUCAGUUGUGAAAGUUUGCGGCUCAACCGUAAAAUUGCAAUUGAUACUGGCAGUCUUGAGUACAGUUGAGGUAGGCGGAAUGCGUGGUGUAGCGGUGAAAUGCUUAGAUAUCACGAAGAACCCCGAUUGCGAAGGCAGCUUACUAAGCUGUGACUGACAUUGAUGCUCGAAAGUGUGGGUAGCAAACAGGAUUAGAUACCCCUGUAGUC
rnacentral:rRNA from 1 species